rnacentral:lncRNA from 1 species
UUUAAUAAGGAUAUUCUAGUAAAUGAUAUUGAUUUUUUCAUUAAAAUCAAUAUAUUUAAUGGUUUUUUUUAUAAUUGUACAUUGCUCAAAUAAAAUAUUUUUUAUAAGACUGAUGGAGUAAUUUGAUAGCUUAUAAGUAUUUCAUUUAUAUUAAUACAACAUUAGUAGGAUUAAUAUUAAUCACAUGCUAUUUUCUUUCUUUCCAACUUUAAGAAAAUUAAACACUAUUUUUU